rnacentral:rRNA from 1 species
UGGGGAAUAUUGGACAAUGGGGGCAACCCUGAUCCAGCAAUGCCACGUGUGUGAAGAAGGCCUUCGGGUUGUAAAGCACUUUAGUAUGGAAGGAAGGAUGUCGUGCUAAUACCACGAUGUUUUGACAGUACCAUAAGAAUAAGCACCGGCAAACUCUGUGCCAGCAGCCGCGGUAAUACAGAGGGUGCAAGCGUUAAUCGGAAUUAUUGGGCGUAAAGGGCUUGUAGGUGGUUCUUUAAGUUAGAUGUGAAAACCCUGGGCUCAACCUGGGACGUGCAUUUAAUACUGGAGAGCUAGAGUAUAGUAGAGGAGAGGGGAAUUCCUGGUGUAGCAGUGAAAUGCGUAGAGAUCAGGAGGAACAUCUGUGGCGAAGGCGCCUCUCUGGACUAAUACUGACACUGAGGAGCGAAGGCGUGGGGAUCAAACA